CAAUAGCGUAUAUUAAAGUUGUUGCAGUUAAAAAGCUCGUAGUUGGAUUUCUGGUGGGAGCGAUCGGUCUGGCGCUUAGCGCGAGUACUUGCAUCGUCUCCGGCCAUCCUUGGGGAGUGUCUGUCUGGCAUUAAGUUGUCGGGCAGAGGAUCCUCAUCGUUUACUGUGAAAAAAUUAGAGUGUUCAAAGCAGGCUUAUGCCGUUGAAUAUAUUAGCAUGGAAUAAUAAGAUAGGACUUUGGUACUAUUUUGUUGGUUUGCGCACCAAAGUAAUGAUUAAUAGGGACAGUUGGGGGUAUUCGUAUUCCGUUGUCAGAGGUGAAAUUCUUGGAUUUACGGAAGACGAACUACUGCGAAAGCAUUUACCAAGGAUGUUUUCAUUAA
rnacentral:rRNA from 1 species